UACGUAGGCAGCAAGCGUUGUUCGGAGUUACUGGGCGUAAAGGGUGUGUAGGCGGUUGUUUAAGUUUGGUGUGAAAUCUCCCGGCUCAACUGGGAGGGUGCGCCGAAUACUGAAUGACUAGAGUGCGGGAGAGGAAAGUGGAAUUCCUGGUGUAGCGGUGAAAUGCGCAGAUAUCAGGAAGAACACCCGUGGCGAAGGCGGCUCUCUGGAACGCAACUGACGCUGAGACGCGAAAGCGUGGGGAGCAAACAGG
rnacentral:rRNA from 1 species